AUGGUUUUUCAUUUAUCUAGUAUCAUCACAUCAAAGGCAUCGUCUUCAAAAGGUUUGAACAUGCCAAAGGGAUAUCUAGCUGUGUACGUAGGAGAGAAAAUGAAACGGUUUGUGAUUCCCAUAUCAUACUUGAACCAAACCUCAUUCCAAGAAUUGCUGAGGCAAACUGAGGAACUUUUCGGAUAUGAUCAUCAUCCAAUGGGAGGUCUCACUAUUCCUUGUAGAGAAGAUGUUUUCUUAGAUAUUACUUCUCACUUGAAUUGA